GACCAAUAGUACAUGGCGGAAGUGAUGGUGUAUCACUUCCCAUGGGAGGGUGUAAAAGACCCCAUUUCUGUGCUGGUUACUCUUGCUCUCUCUUGGAUCAUUUGCUCUGGGGGAAGCCGGCUGCCAUGUCAUGAGCCUGAUGUGGCCGGGAACUGAGGCCCCCUACCAACAGCCCCGAGAGCUAGCGGUUGUGACAACAGGGCCUUCAGCUGCAGUUAAACCCUCAGAUAACUGCAAACCCCUGGGACCCUGAGACCCUGAGCCAGAACCGCCCAGCUUGGCUGCUCCUGGACUCCUGAUGCUCAGAAUCUAGGUCUGUGCUUGAGAAGGCCGUUUCUGAGUAAAUUAUGGAGAAAUCCUGAGGCUCGCUCUCCGUUAUCAGGCGUCCCCGAGCCGCCCAGACCUAUGGAGUGAGAGGCUGUUGGCUCUACAAACAUCUUUGAAAAGAUAGUUGGUGCCUCUGCUUGCAAGAUAUGCAGAAACAUGAGGACCGGCUCCCACAGCAGCGAGUGCCACAGCCCUGGGGGUGCUCAGUGAGCGCCUCGGCUCGGACUUCUGUACUCAGCGUGGAGUGGACAGGCAAGUUCUAGGCUUCCUACCAAAUCAGAGAUUCCACAAGAUUCUGGUUCUCUUCCUUGGUUUUGGGAGAGCCUGAAGUCAAGACAGAGAAAAUGAUGACAUGAAUGACAGGGCUCCUCCAUACAGCAGGGCAAGGACUGUGUUCUCUUACCUGUGGAAUCCAGUGCUCGUCCUGGAGCUGGCACAUCAAAGGACUUCUAAGUAGGGCUGGCUGAAGACUCUGGGAGAACAUGGUCAUAGCACACAUGCACACAAUUCUGACUUGCUCUGCGACCUUGGCCAGGCAUUUUGUCUUUCCACAUCUCAUUGGUAAAAUAAGGAAUUUAACGAGAUGUCCUCAAAUAUCUCUUCUAGUUGUAGAAGUCUAUGUGUCUGUAACAUAAUUAUAAUUAUCAAUUCCUACAAAGUGCCAGGAGAUAAGAAACCUGAUUUCUCCUCCUUCAAGGAUUUUACUACCAAGUUGGGAAAUAUAUUAUUGUUAAUUAUUCAUGUACAUAAAUGCCAAAAAACGACACUGGGCUAUAUGUGAUUAAAUCUCCAAAGGAAAGACAGGAUGUGUAGUCAGAGUGAUUCGUUUAUAUGCUGAGUAUUUACAGAGCACAGACGAUCUAUGAGCUAGGUUC
rnacentral:lncRNA from 1 species